AGGACGAACGCUGGCGGCGUGCUUAACACAUGCAAGUCGAGCGUAAAGGCCCUUCGGGGUACUCGAGCGGCGAACGGGUGAGUAACACGUGAGCAAUCUGCCCCUAGCUUCGGGAUAGCUCCGGGAAACCGGAAUUAAUACCGAAUAUUACUACGGCCGACAUCGGCUGUGGUGGAAAGUUUUUCGGCUAGGGAUGAGCUCGCGGCCUAUCAGCUUGUUGGUGAGGUAACGGCUCACCAAGGCGACGACGGGUA
rnacentral:rRNA from 1 species